GAUGAAGAACGCAGCGAAAUGCGAUAAGUAGUGUGAAUUGCAGAAUUCAGUGAAUCAUCGAAUCUUUGAACGCACAUUGCGCCCCUUGGUAUUCCAUGGGGCAUGCCUGUUCGAGCUUCAUUUGUACCUUCAAGCUUUGCUUGGUGUUGGGUGUUUGUCUCGCCUUUGCGUGUAGACUCGCCUUAAAAUAAUUGGCAGCCGGCGUAUUGAUUUCGGAGCGCAGUACAUCUCGCGCUUUGCACUCAUAACGACAGCGUCCAAAAGUACAUUUUACACUCUUGACCUCGGAUCAGGUAGGGAUACCCGCUGAACUUAAGCAUAUCAAUAAGCGGAGGA
rnacentral:misc_RNA from 1 species